GGGUGCGAUCGUACCAACACUAAUGCACCGGAUCCCAUCAGGACUCCGCAGUUAAGCGUGCAUGGGCGAGAGUAGUACUAGGAUGGGUGACCUCCCGGGAAGUCCUCGUGUUGCACCCC
rfam:Brassica oleracea var. oleracea cultivar TO1000 chromosome C4, whole genome shotgun sequence